AGUUCUUCUUUUGAUAAAUUGUGUCCAAAAUUGGCGUGCUUCGUUUGAAAGUGGCGUUUCAAAUUAUAUUCCUUGAACACAGCAACUGUUUCAGAACAAAUCAAACAUGCAGCUUUCACUCCAACGUCGGGUCUGACGAGAAAACACAGAAAAGAUAUCUUCACCCGGAAAUGUGUUUUAUUAUGAUGUCAUGGGAAUAUUUCUUGAAAUUUUUCAUCGCUUCACAGUAGCUGAAACAAACAAACAGCGGACAAUUUUGUGAAGGUGCGAAACAGUUAACUGAAAUAAAAUGCAAACUAUUGUGAAUUACCGUACAACUGAAACAGUUACGAAGUAUCUGCAUAGAAGUUGGGAUUCAUAAAAGCUCUCGGCGGGCCGCAUGAAAACCUAUGGCGGGCCGUAGUUUGCCCACCCCUGCUCUAUCGUAUGUCAAUGGGAACACCAAAUCAACAGUAAGAUAAAUGAGGUCAGAUCACGUCUUUUAUUUCUGUCUUGAGAUGUUUACGUUCUCUCGUCUUUGAACAAAUUCUGCUACGACAAGCCUCUGGUAAAGUUGCUGUAGUCUUCUUCACUGUAUAUGGAUUUUGAUGCCGGCAAGUGUCGGUACUCCGAAAACCGAAAUGAAACCUAUAGGAUUUAAUGAUGGCAGUCAGAUUAAGCUUUGAACAAAGAAAAUUCAUUCUAAAAUGAUACUGGAAGUGUGAAAAUGCAGUUGAAGUGCAAAAAUAGUUGGGGAGGGAGUUUCAAACAGAUCCACCAAUGCAACUCCCUAUCACUUGAAUUAGAGAUAAGUUUGAAGCUGAUGGAACUGUUCAGAAUGUCCACGAUAAGCAUUCCAGAAGACCCCGAACAUCAACAACCCCAACAAAACAAGGAGUA